rnacentral:rRNA from 1 species
GAAUAUUGGACAAUGGGCGAAAGCCUGAUCCAGCCAUGCCGCGUGUGUGAAGAAGGUCUUCGGAUUGUAAAGCACUUUAAGUUGGGAGGAAGGGCAGUAAGCGAAUACCUUGCUGUUUUGCCGUUACCGACAGAAUACGAACCCGCGAACCCUGCGCCCGCAGCCGGGGUAAUACAGAGGGUGCAAGCGUUCAUCGGAAUUACUGGGCGUAAAGCGCGCGUAGGUGGUUCGGUAAGUUAGAUGUGAAAUCCCCGGGCUCAACCUGGGAACUGCAUCCAAAACUGGCGAGCUAGAGUAGGGCAGAGGGUGGUGGAAUUUCCUGUGUAGCGGUGAAAUGCGUAGAUAUAGGAAGGAACACCAGUGGCGAAGGCGACCACCUGGGCUCAUACUGACACUGAGGUGCGAAAGCGUGGGGAGCAAACA